AUACUUAACCUGACAGGGGAGAUGCCAUAAUCAUGAAGGUGGUUUUCCAAGGGUGAGGCUUAUCCAUUGCACUCCAGAUGUACUGACCCCUGCAAUUUCCCCAAAUGUGGGAAACUUGACUGCAAAAUUUGUGGUAGUGGGGGACAAUAUUCAUGCUCUCCCCUG